AGAAUCAACGCUGGCGGCGUGCCUAACACAUGCAAGUCGAACGAGAAAGUGGGAGCAAUCCCACGAGUAAAGUGGCGCACGGGUGAGUAACACGUGACUAACCUACCCUUGAGUGGGGGAUAACCUAGGGAAACCUGGGCUAAUACCGCAUAAUACCUACGGGUCAAAGGAGCCAAUUCGGCUUAAGGGAGGGGGUCGCGGCAGAUUAGUUAGUUGGCGGGGUAAUGGCCCACCAAGACAGUGAUCUGUA
rnacentral:rRNA from 1 species